rnacentral:misc_RNA from 1 species
UUAAGUUCAGCGGGUAUUCCUACCUGAUCCGAGGUCAACCUUUGGUAUGUAGGGGGUUUUACGGCAGGCGCCCGCCGCGCUCCCGGAGCGAGAAGUAUGCUACUACGCUCGGUGCGACAGCGAGCCCGCCACUGGAUUCAGGGCCUGCGGGCAGCCGCAGGUCCCCAACACAAGCCUGGGGCUUGAUGGUUGAAAUGACG